AAACCAGCACCUCAAGUGGUCAGGAUGAUUAUUGGGCCUAAAGCAUCCGUAGCCUGCUUUGCCAGUUUUCGGUUAAAUCCAUACGCUUAACGUAUGGGCUGCCGGAAAUACUACAAAGCUAGGGAGUGGGAGAGGUAGACGGUACUCGGGAGGAAGUGGUAAAAUGCUUUGAUCUCUCGAUGACCACCUGUGGCGAAGGCGGUCUACCAGAACACGUCCGACGGUGAGGGAUGAAAGCUGGGGGAGCAAACCGGAUUAGAAACCCGAGUAGUCC
rnacentral:rRNA from 1 species